rnacentral:miRNA from 14 species
UGGGGGUGGGGGGAUUACAGCCACAGCUGGCUCCUAGUGCCAUCCUGAUGAGAGACGUUUUUCAAAGGAUUAAGUGGCCUACAAGUGUCAGAUCAAGACAAAGAGAAAGACUUUGUUCUCCUGAUAGGAGCUC